CAGGCCUAACACAUGCAAGUCGAGCGGACCAUUCCUUCGGGGAUGGUUAGCGGCGGACGGGUGAGUAACACGUAGGCAACCUGCCUGUAAGAUCGGGAUAACUACCGGAAACGGUAGCUAAGACCGGAUAGCUGGUUUCUCCGCAUGGGGGAAUCAUGAAACACGGGGCAACCUGUGGCUUACGGAUGGGCCUGCGGCGCAUUAGCUAGUUGGUGGGGUAAUGGCCCACCAAGGCGACGAUGCGUAGCCGACCUGAGAGGGUGAUCGGCCACACUGGGACUGAGACACGGCCCAGACUCCUACGGGAGGCAGCAGUAGGGAAUCUUCCGCAAUGGGCGCAAGCCUGACGGAGCAACGCCGCGUGAGUGAUGAAGGUUUUCGGAUCGUAAAGCUCUGUUGCCAAGGAAGAACGCCUCGGAGAGUAACUGCUCUGAGGGUGACGGUACUUGAGAAGAAAGCCCCGGCUAACUACGUGCCAGCAGCCGCGGUAAUACGUAGGGGGCAAGCGUUGUCCGGAAUUAUUGGGCGUAAAGCGCGCGCAGGCGGUCUUUUAAGUUUGGUGUUUAAGCCCGGGGCUCAACCCCGGUUCGCACUGAAAACUGGGAGACUUGAGUGCAGGAGAGGAAAGCGGAAUUCCACGUGUAGCGGUGAAAUGCGUAGAGAUGUGGAGGAACACCAGUGGCGAAAGGCGGCUUUCUGGACUGUAACUGACGCUGAGGCGCGAAAGCGUGGGGAGCAAACAGGAUUAGA
rnacentral:rRNA from 1 species